CAACAAAGGAAAUAUUUUCUCUGCACACGCCAUUUUAAGGAUUAGGGGACCAAAACUGCACACAAUACUCCAGGUGUGGUCUCACCAAGGCCUUGUACAACUGCAGUAGUACCUCCCUGCUCCUGUACUCGAAUCCGCUGGGCAGUUUUCACCACACGCUGGAGGGCUUUGCAGUCCGAUGUGGGACAAUUGCCAUACCACACUGAGAUGUAAUUGGAAGAAACAUCAGCAACAACCCCUCCAUAUUCACCAUGCCAAGC